GUAAUGCCGGAUGCUCCGACUCCUCGCAUGGGGUGUCGGGAAAGAUUUCAUCGGUAUGGGAUGGGGUCGCGUCCUAUCAGGUAGUCGGCGGGGUAACGGCCCACCGAGCCUACGACGGGUAGCCGGCCUGAGAGGGCGACCGGCCACAUUGGGACUGAGAUACGGCCCAGACUCCUACGGGAGGCAGCAGUGGGGAAUAUUGCACAAUGGGCGCAAGCCUGAUGCAGCGACGCCGCGUGCGGGAUGACGGCCUUCGGGUUGUAAACCGCUUUUGAUCGGGAGCAAGCCUUCGGGUGAGUGUACCUUUCGAAUAAGCACCGGCUAACUACGUGCCAGCAGCCGCGGUAAUACGUAGGGUGCAAGCGUUAUCCGGAAUUAUUGGGCGUAAAGGGCUCGUAGGCGGUUCGUCGCGUCCGGUGUGAAAGUCCAUCGCUUAACGGUGGAUCUGCGCCGGGUACGGGCGGGCUGGAGUGCGGUAGGGGAGACUGGAAUUCCCGGUGUAACGGUGGAAUGUGUAGAUAUCGAAAAAAAA
rnacentral:rRNA from 1 species